CCUACGGGGGGCAGCAGUGAGGAAUAUUGGUCAAUGGGCGCAAGCCUGAACCAGCCAAGCCGCGUGAGGGAAGACGGCCCUACGGGUUGUAAACCUCUUUUGCCGGGGAGCAAGCCUGAGCACGUGUGCCCAGGCGGAGAGUACCCGGAGAAAAAGCAUCGGCUAACUCCGUGCCAGCAGCCGCGGUAAUACGUAGGUGGCGAGCGUUGUCCGGAAUUACUGGGUGUAAGGGGGGUGUAGGCGGGGAAGCAA
rnacentral:rRNA from 1 species